GCUCAAGUAGCUCAGCUGGGAGAGCGUUAGACUGAAGAUCUAAAGGUCUCUGGUUCAACCCCGGACUUCAGCA
rfam:Opisthocomus hoazin contig81647, whole genome shotgun sequence.